rnacentral:rRNA from 1 species
CCGCAUAAGCGCACAGCAUCGCAUGAUGCAGUGUGAAAAACUCCGGUGGUAUAAGAUGGACCCGCGUUGGAUUAGCUAGUUGGUGAGGUAACGGCCCACCAAGGCGACGAUCCAUAGCCGACCUGAGAGGGUGACCGGCCACAUUGGGACUGAGACACGGCCCAAACUCCUACGGGAGGCAGCAGUGGGGAAUAUUGCACAAUGGGCGAAAGCCUGAUGCAGCGACGCCGCGUGAGCGAAGAAGUAUUUCGGUAUGUAAAGCUCUAUCAGCAGGGAAGAUAAUGACGGUACCUGACUAAGAAGCACCGGCUAAAUACGUGCCAGCAGCCGCGGUAAUACGUAUGGUGCAAGCGUUAUCCGGAUUUACUGGGUGUAAAGGGAGCGCAGGCGGUGCGGCAAGUCUGAUGUGAAAGCCCGGGGCUCAACCCCGGUACUGCAUUGGAAACUGUCGUACUAGAGUGUCGGAGGGGUAAGCGGAAUUCCUAGUGUAGCGGUGAAAUGCGUAGAUAUUAGGAGGAACACCAGUGGCGAAGGCGGCUUACUGGACGAUAACUGACGCUGAGGCUCGAAAGCGUGGGGAGCAAAGAGGAUUAGAUACCCUGGUAGUCCACGCCGU